AUUAUGUGGCUCCUCCUCUCUAUUAUUAGAGAGCUGCUGCUUUGGUUGGUUGGUUCUUCCAGAUAUGUCUGGAUGUCUCUGGACAACAACCUUCUUUUCCAGAGUCGUCUGAAGAUGAUGAGUACUGCCUUUGUUGUUGUUUGCUGGUAUUCCAGCAGGAACAACGACACUGCUGCCGAGCACCACCACCACCAGUUUGGGGGUGAUUGCAUGCGGGAGAAGAAGAAGAGGCAUCUUUGAGAUACGGUGAUAAUAAUAUUCCUCUUGCUGGGCGUCGUUGUGUCUCUCACGUGGUUGGGGGCGGCGCGCACAGGUUUCAAAGAUGUUGUAACCUUCUUGCCGUCGCAUGCGCCACUUCUCCUUGUGCAGCAGCUGUUGGUUGUUGUGCUAGUGGUGUGGUGGUAGCAGUAGUAGUAGUAGUAGUACUAUUGGUCUGGAGUGCUUUUUUGAUGCUCCAUUUUUGUAGACCUGAGAUCAGGCGAGAUGACCCGCUGAACUUAAGCAUAUUAUUAAGCGGUGGAGAAGAAAAUAACAAUGAUUCCCCUAGUAACUGCGAGUGAAGAGGGAAGAGCUCAAAGUGGAAAUCGGAGAUCUGUUGAUAGGGUUUCCGAGUUGUAGCCUCGAGAGGCGUGACCAGUGGAGGCAUAGGGAGAAGUUUCUUGGAAAAGAACAUCAGAGAGGGUGAGAGUCCCGUAUUUGCCCUGUGUCGUUUGUUCCACGGACGGUACGCCUUUAUAGAGUCGCGUUCAUCGGGAUUUGAGCGCAAAAUGUGUGGUAAGUUUCACAUAAAGCUAAAUAUUGGCGCGAGACCGAUAGCAAACAAGUACCGUGAGGGAAAGAUGAAAAGUUCUUUGGAAAGGGAGUUAAAAGUGCCUGAAAUUGCUGAAAAGGAAGCGAUUGGAACCUUUACGAAUCUUGUAUGUGAAUCUCUUAUGGUAUCGAGCUCUAUGUCCUCUUUUGUUCACUCUUCUUUCUAAAGAAGAGGGGAGGAUGUGGAUUCAUAAGGCAAUAGAUACUGUAGAUGAGGAUCGUACUGGAGAGGUCAGCAUCAGUUACAGACAAAAGAUCGUUGAUGCAAAAGGUAGGUCCCUCGUUUUUUUUGGGCUGCUUUAUAGUUGCAUCUCGAUACUCUCUUGUCAGUGACUGAGGUUGAAUCAUGGAAGUUUGGUUUUCGGACUGAACUUGAAUGAUGCUGGCUAAAACGGUUUCAACCGACCCGUCUUGAAACACGGACCAAGGAGUCUAACAUAUGUGCGAGUAUGCGGGUGGCAAACCUGUAUGCGUAAUGAAAGUGAGAGUAGGGAAGGGUGUUUUGAUGGUACUAUUUGUUUAGUAUUGUUGUCCGCCUUGCAGCUACGACCGACCACGAUCAAU
rnacentral:rRNA from 1 species